GCGGGGAUGCCGGAGCGGUCAAACGGGUUAGGCUAAGGCAGCUUGUAGAAACCUAAUGGCUUAGUGCCUGCGAAGGUUCGAUCCCUUCUCCCCGCA
rnacentral:tRNA from 1 species